UACGGGGGGGGCAAGCGUUGUCCGGAUUUAUUGGGCGUAAAGAGCGUGUAGGCGGCCAGGUAGGUCCGUUGUGAAAACUGGAGGCUUAACCUCCAGCUGUCGAUGGAAACCAUCUGGCUAGAGUCCGGAAGAGGAGAGUGGAAUUCCUGGUGUAGCGGUGAAAUGCGCAGAUAUCAGGAAGAACACCCGUGGCGAAGGCGGCUCUCUGGGACGGUACUGACGCUGAGACGCGAAAGCGUGGGGAGCGAACAGG
rnacentral:rRNA from 1 species